AUGGUACUUCCCACAAAAUUAAUAUUGUCGACCAUCCACCUUGUGCUCCUCGGCGUCCUCCUCCUGCUGGCCGGCACAUCGAGCUUCCAAUGCAGCUCCGUCGACCAAGCCACCCUCCUAGCUAUCAAGAAACAGUGGGGAAACCCCUGGCAGCUUGUAUCAUGGGACCCCGUCGCCAACGCCGACCACUGUAAAUGGACCGGCAUGGUCUGCGGGGGCGGAUGCUCCGGGGCUGUGACGGGGAUAUCCUUGCCGAGGCUCAACCUUACCGGCAAGGUACCGGAGUCUCUGUGCGACCUGCCGAGCCUUAGCCGCCUCGACCUCUCCUACAACAACCUCACCGGCGGCUUCCCCCGUGGCCCGCUCUACAACUGCUCCCAGCUCCGCUUCCUCGACCUCUCCUACAACGCCUUCCACGGGGUCCUUCCGCAUGACAUCAGCCGCCUGUCACCGGCCAUGGAGCACCUCAACCUGUCCACAAAUUACUUCAGUGGCACCGUGCCGGCCGCGGUGGCCGGGCUUCCGGCGCUGAGGUCGCUGAUUCUUGACAAAAACCAGUUCACCGGAGCAUACCCAGCGGCCGAGAUAAGCAAGCUCGCCAGGCUCGAAAAGCUUACGCUGGCCUUCAACCCGUUCGUGCCGGCGCCUGCGCCGCUAGAGUUCUCCAAGCUGACCAACCUGAGCUACCUUUGGAUGGGUGACAUGAACAUGACCGGUGAGAUCCCGAAAGCCUACUCGAGCCUAGUGAACCUCCAGAUGAUGGCUAUAUGCGAGAACAAUCUCACCGGCGAGAUCCCGGCGUGGGUCUGGCAGCACCCAAAGCUCAAGUACGUGUACCUGUUCACCAAUGGACUCACAGGCAAACUGCCGCGCAAAAUCACGGCGGUGAAUUUGAUAGAGCUUGAUGUGUCGGAUAACCAGCUUACCGGAGAAAUUCCAGAAGAGAUUGUUAACCUCAAGAACCUGAGCAUACUGUUCAUGUACACCAACCAGCUCUCCGGCACCAUUCCAGCAAGCAUAGCAAUGCUUCCCAAUCUCAGGGACAUCAGGCUAUUUGAAAACAACCUCUCUGGCGAGCUGCCGGCGACGCUAUGGUCGUUACCAAAGCUGAUCAUCUUGGAUAUACUGAACAAUGGUUUCACCGGGGCUUUACCAACCAAGAUACCCGAGAACAUCCAGUGGCUUGAUGUGGGGAACAACAAGUUCUCUGGCUCCCUGCCAACAUCGGCAACAGGGCUGCUGGUGUUCAGCGCGGCAAACAACCUGCUCUCCGGCGAGCUACCGGCCGACAUGAGCAAGUUUGCCAAGCUUACACGUUUGGAGUUGUCCGGCAACCAACUUACUGGUGCCAUACCAUGA
rnacentral:rRNA from 1 species